rnacentral:misc_RNA from 1 species
GAUGAAGAACGCAGCGAAAUGCGAUACGUAAUGUGAAUUGCAAAUUCAGUGAAUCAUCGAGUCUUUGAACGCACAUUGCGCCCCCUGGUAUUCCGGGGAGCAUGCCUGUCCGAGCGUCAUUGCUGCCCUCAAGCACGGCUUGUGUGUUGGGCCCCGUCCUCCGAUCCCGGGGGACGGGCCCGAAAGGCAGCGGCGGCACCGCGUCCGGUCCUCGAGCGUAUGGGGCUUUGUCACCCGCUCUGUAGGCCCGGCCGGCGCUUGCCGAUCAACCCAAAUUUUUUAUCCAGGUUGACCUCGGAUCAGGUAGGGAUACCCGCUGAACUUAAGCAUAUCAAUAAGCGGAGGA